rnacentral:misc_RNA from 1 species
GAUGAAGAACGUAGCAAAAUGCGAUAAGUAAUGUGAAUUGCAGAAUUCAGUGAAUCAUCGAAUCUUUGAACGCACAUUGCGCCCGCUAGUAUUCUGGCGGGCAUGCCUGUCUGAGCGUCAUUUCAACCCUCGCCCCCGGCUUUUGCUGGGAGCGGUGUUGGGGAUCGGCCGCCCGUCACUGGGAGGCCGGCCCCGAAAUAGAGUGGCGACCACGCCGUGUGCUCCUCUGCGUAGUAGUAAAUCACCUCGCAGGCGGACAGCGGUGCGGCCUGCCGUAAAACCCCCAACUCUUUCUGGUUGACCUCAGAUCAGGUAGGAAUACCCGCUGAACUUAAGCAUAUCAAUAAGCGGAGGA